rnacentral:rRNA from 1 species
CAGUAGCCGCGGUAAUACAGAGGGUGCGAGCGUUAAUCGGAUUUACUGGGCGUAAAGCGUGCGUAGGCGGCUUUUUAAGUCGGAUGUGAAAUCCCUGAGCUUAACUUAGGAAUUGCAUUUGAUACUGGUAAGCUAGAUUAUGGGAGAGGAUGGUAGAAUUCCAGGUGUAGCGGUGAAAUGCGUAGAGAUCUGGAGGAAUACCGAUGGCGAAGGCAGCCAUCUGGCCUAAUACUGACGCUGAGGUACGAAAGCAUGGGGAGCAAACAGGAUUAGAUACCCGCGUAGUCCCUGUCUCUUAUAA